UGGCACCCAGGGCCCUGGAGUAACCCGCUCAUAGGGAGAAACGGGGAAGGAGGGAGUGUUUGAUUUCUGUGCUAUCAUGGGGUCAAGAGACAAGCUUGACUUUGUGGUGGUUUGAUGUGCAAGGGAGGAAACUACGAUCAAGUGCACCGGCUUCGGGAGGAGAAAAUAGGAGGAGAGAGAAUGGACAUUUACCCAGCACUUCCUGUCUGCAACCCCUUGGUUAUGCCUGUAAACUCUGGAAAAUUCUAAAGGUGCAGGCUAUUACAAGAGUGGACGCCAUACAGAAUCCGUCUCAGAUGGACAUGGAGGGGGUCCCCUCUCUCCCUCUUCUCUUCCCCACAGUUCCCUCAGUCUUUUCACCCUGCUGUUGAAUCCCCAGGGCCCUGGAUCAAAGGCCUUUACUUCUAUCUUAUUUCUCAGUGGGAAGAGGAGGGGAUACCAGGCAGUUUUCCUCUUAAGCAUAACUCUGCUAUAUUACCACAUUACAUGACUACUACAUUCUAGAGAUGCUGCCUCCUGUCUCUAUAGUAACAAAGACCCUGACCCUAGAAGAUGGGCAGGAAGAGGAGGAAAGAGAGUAAGAAAAUCCUGCGCCAUCGCCAGCACCCGAGGCCUUUCACUCGGAUACUCUCAUCUUCCUCACAACCGUCACAUCAUGGGCUAAUUCCACUUCACACCGGAGGAAACCGAGGCUCAGAAAUGUUGAGUGAAUGCCUAACACAGGGAGCAAGUCUUGGAGCCAAGGUUGGUCCCACACCAAAGUCCAUGCCCUUUUCCCUGAGCCACGGCCCCUGCGCCGACACCAGAACACAUUGUUCUGCGUCUCACGAGGGACACUGAACUCUGGUUUAAUUCUGACGUUCUGGGUCGAUGAAGAAUUUGGUCAGCAAGUAGGGAGAGCGUUGCUGGAGGAGCUCAGAUAGGAGCCUGAGAGCAGAGAAGCUGACGUAUACGAGAGUCCCAGGGAAAACGGGGAGCCAGAUGCUGAGAAGCCAAGGCAGAGACACCAAGUCCGAAGUCUCGAGAUGCAGACUCAAAAUCAGGGUGUGGAGCCAAUGAUUCAGAAUGAGGCAAAACUGGGGUUUGGAGGGAGAGCAGGCCAGGGAUGGGCAAGGAGAGUUCGGGGUACCUGCCCAGCUGCUGUCGCCCUGGGGAGCUGUGGCUGCCCUUUGAGGGAUGGUGGGACCUCAGUGCAUGACUUGGGGUGAAGGGAGUCUGGUUUAAAGGCCUGAGGUAACAGUGACACCACCAGGGAGCCCCACGCUCAGCCAGAAGGGUCAGCCAUCCACCUUGGGCUUCAGUUCCCUCCCCUCCAAAGCCGCCCAGCAAGCCCUCAAGUCCAACUGAGAGUGACAGCCUGUCUUCAGGCUCAGGCCCGGGAAGGGGAGGAGCAGAGCGGAGGGUGACAGAAUGGGUAUGGCAAACACUCCAGAAGCUUCCUUCAGAGUGCAAACCCCAUGGACUCAGAGUCUGAGGCCCCGCCCGGAGUGUGGUGCUCAAAGGCAUCCACGGCAGGCCUGGGACAGUGAGCAAAGACGUCGGACAGUGGGAAAAUUUCCCCAAAGAACUCAGACUUGGUUUGGGGUCCAGCUCUCCCUGCCCUGAGACCCCUCUGCAGAAACUCCUAACUGAGUUCUGGGCCCUGGAGACCACUGUGGACAAAAACACCUGGGCAAAGCAAGGGGUCAAACUCCUUUAAUGCAGCUUCCUUAUCAGCAAAGAACUGAGCAGGCCUUGCCCAGAGCAGGAGGACGCAGGAGUCAAGAGUCGGACUGGAGCCGAAGAAAAUUUGAAGAGCCAAGUUUCCGAGCUCCAGUCCAGGCGGGGCUGUGCUCCUCCACCGCAGAAGCCCCGUUCAGCUCUCUGGCUUCCGCUGGCCUCGUGAAUCCCGGCAGAAGGCUGCUCUCCUGCGCUUUGGCGUGUGCACAGACUGGGUCCUGAAACUUGCGGGAGUUUGGUGACUGUGACCCCGUUGAGAAGGAGCCGCGUGGACCCAGAACCACUUAGAACAUCAGCUUUAGGACGCUGUCUUAGGUUGUGUUCCCCUGGAAGCAGAUCCCAAGAAGGAUUUGAGUACAGGCAAUUUGUAAAGGAAGUACUUUUAGGAGAAUGAGGAAGAAAGACAGAGCUAAGAGAGGCAGCUCAGGGUGAGCAAGUGAGUAGGUUACUGUGAGGAACUGAGGAUAAUCUCAGUGGGGACACUGGACAGUGCAGAAUACCCUUUGGGGCCACCCCACCUGAGGGACGAGGAAGCUGGAGUGUUUACCCAUUGGCUGAGGGCUGCUCCCAGGGGUGUUAGCCCCCAGUACUUCCAGCCUCCCCUUGGGCAAAGAGUUGCAGAGACUGCAGAGGGAAGUCAUCAGGGUCUAGAGGAGCGCAGAGAGGGGCAGGGCAUCAGUGGCAUCUGUUACACACCCUCGGCCCUGUCCUUGCGACUGCACCAGGCAGGGCAGAGAGAGACCAGAAGGCAGAGAGGGAGAGCAUCCAUCACUGACAGUGCAUUUUUCCAUGGCACAAGAGAUAAAAUCAUGGACUGGCAGCCAGAAUCCACACUUGGAAGUCUCUAGAAGAGGCUAAGAGCAGAAGGAGAAGCGUCCAACUCUCUGACCCAAAGUCAGAGACAAAUGCGGGGAAAGAGAAAAUACAGAAAGAGGUGUGGGGAAACAGGAAAAGCCCAGUCAAGGGCUGGAGACGGGAAGGAGGGUACAGUUCCACGGUCAGUUCAGCUAGUUCAGCCCAAAGGGACCCCUCUCACCCAGCCCUGGAGUCCGGACCGGUGGCUGAUGGUAGAGAGCUGGGUGUGGAGUACCAGUUUCUUCCAGCUGAAGAUGGAGAGGAUGCUUGUCAGUUUGACCCUGUGCUAAGUGGGAGACUGGUAGCUGGAAAACGGAAAGUGAACAUGUUGUCCAAGAUAGAGUCUGAGAAGUCACCAGUCAAUCAGAAACGAUCCGGGAUAGGGCGUCGGCCAAGGGGGAGAUUCUGAAGGUCUACCUUCUUGGGGACCCCGGCUCCUCAAACAGAAGCCCUCAGGCCUUGGUACUCGGUGACUCUUCCCAUGGAGAAUGCAGUAAAGACCCCUGAAGAGAGAGGGCUCACAGCAGGGCCAGCGUUCCUCCUGCCAUGCUUCACACACUGCGGAUUUUAGAAACACAGCUCUCAGACCACGUUCUGAAGGGCUCACUCCUCCACUUCAGAAAUCCCGCCAAGAAGAACCCCUCCCUGAGCACAGAAGAGCCCCCCACCACAGUCGGUAGAGGGCCACCUCCAGCCCCCUGACCCAGGAAGCCUGUGACAUCAUGGCCCCUCGGUUCCCUGACCCCUGUGUUCCUCUGCAUUGCUGUUGGAAUUUUGACGCUGGCCACUGGGCUUGGUUUGCUCUCUUUCAAUCUUGGAGCUCUGAUUAUGCUGUUGCCACUCAGAGUAGGGACAAGCCAGGGCACUAAGAGGCAGGGAGGUGAGUGAUGGCAGAAUUGACAGGGGCGGCAGGGUCAGCCCAGAAAACCCAUAGCUGAACAAAUGGGCCCACAGGGAUGGGGGCUUCUGUGAGCCAGCGCCCUCCACUCACAGUUGGUGGCUUCAAAGUGCAUCCCCAGGGCUCGAUGUCUCCCCCAACGACUCCCAAACCUGUAUCUCCAUUCUGUCCUUUGUCCUGAGCUCCAGAUCCAUUUAUCUAGAUGUUUUCUCCUGAGCGUCCUCCAAGACAGCAGACUCACGCACUCAAAUAGGUCCUCUUCAUGCUGCCCACUAGUCUCAUCCUCCCUUUGUGUUCCCAUCUCUUGAGUGGAGUCAGGCAAGUUAGAAACCUAAGUGUCCUCCUUGACUCUACCUUCUCCAUCCCUCAGAUCCAGUCAUUCAUCCAGCCCAGCCAGUUCCAUCUUCUAUGGAUAUCUCAAAUCUGUCUACGUCUUGCUAUCACUGCCACAAUCGUUCAAGUUCAAACUUCCUCUCAGCAUCUCACUUCUGGAUUAUUUUCAUACCCUCUGCUGGUCUUUUUGCACUGGUCUUGCCCGAACAUCUAGUCCAUCAGCCUGGAAUGUCCUCUUUCUUUUGUCCAUCUGGCAAACUCUCCCUCCUCAAAAGCCUUCCUCCUCUGUGAAGACUUUCAUGAUUUCUCCAUGUCCUAUGAGGCACAACCCCUUCCCCUGUGGGCCCCCAGGCCCUGGCACCCAUACCUCCAUCGGAGCCCUGGUCAUAUGGUACUGCCACUGAUCAUUGGCACACCUUUCUCCUCACAAGGCUCGUUGAGAGCAGGGGCCAUGUUUUCUCCAUCUCUGGUCCCCUGUGUCUGACUCAGCUCUUGGCAAACAGUGAGUGGUUCUUAAGAGUUUUGUUG
rnacentral:lncRNA from 1 species